GGCGGCUCCGCAAAACCAUGGGGUCAGAGGUCACGGCUCGGGCCUCCGCUUUCCCGCGCUGCUGAGAAACCGAAAGCGGACUAGUGGCGGGCCGGGAUGGCGAGACGCGGCUUUCCUUUCGACGCUCGGAUGCGUGCGUGUCUGCCGUGGAAAGACUCUAAGGAAUGAUCCCUAUUGAAUGGUCUCAUAACAGUUUUUGGAUCACACUCAUGGGGAAAAAACUAAGAUUUAUUUUUAUUGUAUGUAUGUGAGUACACUGUUGCUGUCUUCAGACACACCAGAAGAGGGCAUCAGAUCCCAUCUAUGGCCCCAUUUUGAUUGUGAUUCCUGUGGGCUCACGAAGACAAGAAAAUCAGAGGACCCAUUUGUGUUCCGAGAGCACCCACAUCUGGCAGCUCACAACCACCGGUAACUCCAGCCUCUAGGACCCAAAGCCCUCUUCUGGCCUCCAUGGGCACCUGCAUACAAUGUGACACACACACACAAAGAAAUAAACCUUUAAAAAUAAACUGGAAAAAAA